rnacentral:rRNA from 1 species
UACGGAGGGUGCAAACGUUGCUCGGAAUUAUUGGGCGUAAAGCGCGUGUAGGCGGCGUGGCAAGUCGGGUGUGAAAGCCCUCAGCUCAACUGAGGAAGUGCGCCCGAAACUGCUGUGCUUGAGUGCCGGAGAGGGUGGCGGAAUUCCCCAAGUAGAGGUGAAAUUCGUAGAUAUGGGGAGGAACACCGGUGGCGAAGGCGGCCAUCUGGACGGAUACUGACGCUGAGACGCGAAAGCGUGGGUAGCAAACAGG